rnacentral:lncRNA from 1 species
UUGUGACCAAGAAAUGAGAAAGAGCUUACGCUGAAUUAUUUCAUCUCUUCUGGCAAAGUGUGGAUCUGUCUGUGUGUGUGUGUAUCCGUGACAACGACCACGUUACUCCUGUUAAUGGCACUCUAGCAAUAGACUAACACCCGUGAAGAGCCCUCCUUCGCUGGGGAAGCGGGAGAGGCAUCCAUCCCCUUAGUUCCGUUCCUUGCCUGUAAUUGACAGUCGUGAGUAUACCAAUAUAGCGUCUUUAAAAAUGUUUCCUGAGAGGCGCAGAUUCGUCCUUUGUUGUUGAAUCCGGUAGAUUUAGAUUCGACUCGGUUUAAUCACCCUGGGGAAGAAGAGUGUCCUGUGAGGAUCUACUGGCCAACGUGCUUAAGAGGGUUUUUUUUUUUUUUAAGUUUUUAGAAAUUGUGUUUAAUUCUGUGAAGUGGGAUAAAAUUGCAAAUGUAAUAGUGUUUUUUAUUAUUCUUCCCCAAAGUCUCUAGAGGAACUUCUGAACCUCAAAGGGAAUCUCUGUAGCAAUGGACCUUUUACCAAUUCCCAGUUUGAAAAAAGACAAAAAUAACAAAACAAAAAACAAAAUUGGCAUGUUCUACCACCAGGACUUUAGAAUGCUGCUAAAUCCAAUUGGAUCCCACAAAAUCAAGAAAAUAUAAUCAAAGCUUUUUCCAGUGAACUGGGAAGUAUGUAUCAGCACCUGCUGGUCUCACUGGGUUUGGGGGCCGUCACCUCUGCUCACACGUUGUGAUUUUCCUGCCCCAACAGAAAGUUUUGGAAGCGUUUCCUGGCUUCAUCUUGCCAUCUUACUCUGGAGUCUAGUUACAAUGAGGAACCCCCGUCUGAGCCCAAGGGAGCCCAGCUUCGCUCUCUCAACAUCUCUUCCACCACUUCCCGGGGGCUAAGUGGAAAUUCACUCCAGACAGCAGUUCUGCCCCAUCAGGGCACAGCUCGCGUCUGGGCCAGAACUUCAUCUCUUCAUUGCAGAAAGUUAAGGAAAUCAUUGCUCAGCCAGGGAGCAAAGAUUGGCUCUGCAGUUGCUCUUUUAUGGAGCUGUUAACGCAGAGACACCAUUACUUAAAUGUAAUUUUUAGUAUUACAAUUAAAGACUGAUUUGAUUUUAUGAGAUCAUGCAUUUUUAUUUUAUGGACGUUUUUGUAGUUAAAUUCAAUUUAAAAGAUUGUAUUUAAAGUAAGGUAUAAGCACGGAGCGUAUUAAAGUUAUGUAAGCCUGCUUUUGGCGCUGUGAUAGCAAAGCUUCCAGCACUGGAUUACUCUGGUAGCGCCACAUGUUUCCUGCUACAACUACGUACUAGCUCAGGAGAAACGAACUUGGCUUCCUCUGUUUGUGACAGCCCCAAAUCUGUCAAGCCUCACGAAGCUCACUGUCAGUUUUCUGCAGGAAAGAAACACUCCUCUCCUUUCAGCCGA